rnacentral:rRNA from 1 species
UACGGAGGGGACUAGCGUUGUUCGGAAUUACUGGGCGUAAAGCGCACGUAGGCGGCUUGUUAAGUCAGGGGUGAAAUCCUGGAGCUCAACUCCAGAACUGCCUUUGAUACUGGCGAGCUUGAGUCCGGGAGAGGUGAGCGGAACUGCGAGUGUAGAGGUGAAAUUCGUAGAUAUUCGCAAGAACACCAGUGGCGAAGGCGGCUCACUGGCCCGGUACUGACGCUGAGGUGCGAAAGCGUGGGGAGCAAACAGG